CUUAGCGCGUGCGCGCAUCUUUCUGCUGUCGAUCUAAUUCCAAGGGCCACGGAACAAAGUCCCCCAAUUUGCCUCACAUUUCUUAUCCACUCCUCGCCUAGCCUCUCCACCCUCCGUCUCAACGAAGCCGCCGCCCACGGCCCACCAGCUAGCCCACCUUCGGCGGCGCAUCGCUUUCCUCCGUGCGACCAUGCCGUUCCGCAACUAUCGACGGCAUCUCCUCCGCCUCCAAACUCCAGCUCCUCUGUUUCCCUCACCGGCUACGAGUUCCUCUCCCCUGGCCGCUUCCUCCCGCAGACCACAUCAACGCGGCUCCCGCUGCUCACGGCGCCUCUUCCUCUCGGCGAUUUCGUGGCGGCAUCAAGCUCGCAUGGAUGCGUCUAGAGCGGCGGUGACGAUUGACGGCGGCGACGCAGUCCUCUCCACAGAUGGCGGCGGCUCGAGCACCUAGCGCCGACGCGCUCCUCGCCAUGGACGGCAGCCGCGAACUCUUCGAUGCCUUCUUCAGCACUAGCGAGAUGAGGGCAAAACAACCAUCCUGCACAAGCUGGAACUGCCUGGAAGUCCUCUCAACUGUUCCUACGAUCGCUAGGUGGCGGUGGCGGGUGUGACUCCGCGUCCUGAGCAGCCUCCUCGAGGGGUUCUUAUAGCUCCGAAGCCUCAUCCCAAGGUACGUAACUAAUUUUUAGUUUAUGAGCUUUGAGUGGAAGGAAAUUGGACUGAAGCCCCUCCUAACCUUGCCAUUAUACCCCGUCUAAGGCUUUGGAUCUCCAAUUUUAUAAUAUCUGAUGGCGAUUUCUGAUAAAAUCGAAGCUUCUACCUAACAUGUCAUGUUCUAGGACUUUGGGGAUGCACUGGUCAUGUUCUAGGACUUUGGGGAUGGAUGCUCUGGCGACUUGUAGCUUGUUAAAAUAGUGGAGAUCGGAAAUGGUUUAUAGCUUGUGAAAUUAUUGGAGAAAGGAAAUAGUAGUACUUUUUUUGUUGUUGUUUGAGCAUGUUCUUUGAUUGUACACAGUGCUGAUUUCUGUUAGCCUCGUAGGCAUUCGUGUUAAUUAGGAUAUUCCUUUGUGGUAAAUUCUGCAGUCAAGAUUGUGAAAUGUAAGGUUCCAUUGUAACAAUUGUUGCUCUUUUCGGGAAAUUUCUUAGGUUAAUCUAGUUCCAGUUUUUACUCCAUCCCCUCAACAUCAAGAUCAUAGCAAUACAAAGGAAAGAGAAAGAACUACGAAGACUCUAUGACUAUGGUGAUCAAUGAUCGUAAAGUAAGUACUCCCUCCGUCCAACAAAAGAUGUCUCAACUUUGACCAAAUUUGAAUGCAUCUAAAGUCAUGUCUAGAUACAUCCAAAUUUUGACAAACUUGAGACAUCUUUUGUUGGACGGUGGGAGUACAUGCUUAUUAAAACUUCCAUCUUGUAGAUAAGAGUUGUGUGAUGCAAUAUUUGCUCUCAUGUAUUAUGGUAAAUAGAUUUUCUAGUAAGAGGGGUAUGAUUCUACUUCUUGACUUUUUUGAACAUGUCCAGUCAUUAUUGCAAAUUCAAGUGGAUCUUGCAUUACCUCUAUAUUUAUGACACAUAAAAUCUGUAGAUGUCAUGAUAGGCUAUUUCAGUUCCUAAAGGUAAUAUGAUGUUACAUUAGACCACCAUGCAUAACUAUUGGAUGUAACUACAAUUUACAUUAGAUGUGACUAUAAAUUAUUGGAUGUAACUGUGUAUCUAUUGGAUGUAACUAUAAGUUCUACUCCCUCCAAUCCUAAAUUCUUUGAACUAAAACCAUGACAAGAAUUUAGGAAGAGGGAUUAUCUCUCUAAUUUCUUACAUCCAGAAUUAUCCAAGGAUGUAACACUAGUUUAAUUUGGAUGUAACUUUGGAGGUUAAGUUUUCUGUCAAUAUUUUCAGUUUUUACAUCCAAAAUUAUUGAAGGAUGUAACAGCAGUUUAGUUUUGCAUGUAACUUUGGAGGUUAAGUUUUGUGUCAAUUUUUUCAGUUUUUACAUCCAAAAUUAUUGAAGGAUGUCACGCUAGUUUAGUUUUGGAUGUAAGUUUUCGACAAUUGGAUGUAUUUUUAAGUUCUUGAUAUGCUAUACCUUUUGUUGUAUAUGGUAUAUGAAAAAAUUGUACGCAAGAUAAAUAAAACAUGAGUGCGUAUUCCCCAAUGGGGCAUAAGUUACUUGAAGUGGCUCUCGGUCUAUUACAAGUUACUCUCUCAUGGUGAAGAGGAGUAAUUUAUUUUGAUAUUAGUGGAAUCAUGACUUUGCUGCCUGUGGCUUUUCUUAAUGCAAUUGUGAAAUCUUACUACUAUUUGUAGUGAGCAUAGGUAACAAGGUCAGUACUAAAUGCAAUUGUGGAAUCAUGACUAUACAUGUGCAGCAAAAGAACAUGUGAGCGAAAGAAUAUUUGUGUGUGAUGGAGAACAAACCAUGCAUAUUUUCUGUUUUGUUAAUGUAUUUUUCUGUUUUAAAACCUGUGUUGGAUGUAAUUAUCUCAAGCACAAACUUCAUUUUUUUACUUGGUUUAUCUGAUUUAUUGUGGCCUAUGGGCAAAUGAGAAA